AGAGCGCCUGCUUUGCACGCAGGAGGUCAGCGGUUCGAUCCCGCUAGGCUCCA
rnacentral:tRNA from 1 species